ACUCCUACGGGAGGCAGCAGUGGGGAAUUUUGCGCAAUGGGGGAAACCCUGACGCAGCAACGCCGCGUGAGUGAUGAAGGCCUUCGGGUCGUAAAGCUCUGUCAGAGGGGAAGAAAUGCGGGGUGCUAAUAUCACUUCCGCUUGACGGUACCCUCAAAGGAAGCACCGGCUAACUCCGUGCCAGCAGCCGCGGUAAUACGGAGGGUGCGAGCGUUGUUCGGAAUUAUUGGGCGUAAAGCGCGUGUAGGCGGUUUGUUAAGUCUGAUGUGAAAGCCCCGGGCUCAACCUGGGAAGUGCAUUGGAAACUGGCAGACUUGAAUACGGGAGAGGGCAGUGGAAUUCCUAGUGUAGGAGUGAAAUCCGUAGAUAUUAGGAGGAACACCGGUGGCGAAGGCGGCUGCCUGGACCGAUAUUGACGCUGAGACGCGAAAGCGUGGGGAGCAAACAGGAUUAGAUACCCUGGUAGUCCACGCCGUAAACGAUGAGAACUAGGUGUUGCGGGUA
rnacentral:rRNA from 1 species